rnacentral:misc_RNA from 1 species
GAGUGCGGGCCCUCUGGGUCCAACCUCCCACCCGUGUUUAUCGUACCUUGUUGCUUCGGCGGGCCCGCCGUCAGGCCGCCGGGGGCAUCCGCCCCGGGCCCGCGCCCGCCGAAGACACCCCUGAACGCUGUCUGAAGAUUGCAGUCUGAGCGAUUAUUAAAUUAUUUAAAACUUUCAACAACGGAUCUCUUGGUUCC